CGGUCGAUGACGACGUGCGUCAUGUGCGAUGCGAUACGACGCGACUGCGAGCAAAUCGACGGAAGUCGUUCGGAUCUCACUCACACCAGGUGCUUUUUUCGGGUAACGGAACAACCGACGCUUUUGUAUACCUCCGGACGUCUUUUUACCCGGACGUUGUUUUACACGCGAGAGACACUGGUGACUGGAGCGUUCAGCGACAUUUAUCGCUUGUUGUCUUUCACGACGAGAUUGUCUCUCUGUCUGUCUUGCCUGCCUGCCUGCAUGCGUGCGUGCGUACAAACGUAUGUACGUACAUGCAUGCACUCGUCCCCGCGACGCUGCGCGACUCCACGCGACUCUUCGAGCAGACUCGAGAAUGACGUAAACCUC